UUUCUACUAAUUGUCUUACAUUCAUCAAAUAACUCAUGGAAAGCAUUUAAUAAUUCAUGAUAAGGUAAAUCUGCAUUAAUUAAAUCCGUUACCUCUUCUCCGAUGGCCAUUAGGGCGUAAUGAGCAACUUGCUCAGUGUUGGACUCCUCUUCUUCGGACGCACUUGAAUCAUCCCACGUUGCCUUGAGCGCCUUCUUCUUUGAUGUUCUCUUUUUGGCUUGAGGACAAUCGUUCUUGUAGUGUCCCGGUUUUUUGCAUUCAUAGCAAAUCACUUGGUCCGUUCGAAUUUAUUUUUUGUAUUAUUUUUAAAUUUGUUCUUUCUUAAAUAUUUUUUAAAUUUUUGAGUCAAAAGUGCAAUGUCAUUGUCACUG
rnacentral:lncRNA from 1 species